ACUCUGUGUUGUUGGUGGUGUGGAGGCUGAUGAAGGUGUGGAGCUUCCUGAAGUUGAGCUUAAACUCUGUGUUGUUGGUGGUGUGGAGGCUGAUGAGAGAAACACUGAAGCUGAAAAAGGUCUCAGAGUCCCGUUUGGUGUUGAAGUGGUUGAAGCUGUGAACAAUGAAACCAUCAGAGUCAUAAUAAGACCACUUGAAGCAGUUUAUAUAUCUGCAUGUGACUGACGUGGUUAUGGGCUGUUUGACAGCAGAACUGAUGAAACUUGAUGUUUCAGAUAAAUAUAACAUCUGUAGGUGAUUUGAAAGAAAAGUAGCUGCCUUUGAGACGGGAAACUUCUGUCACACCUUCAGAGACAAACACGACUGUUAGCAGAAACUCACCUGCUGUGACAAUCAGCUCAAAAUCAUCGUUUCCAUCUGUCAACAAGACUCUGUCCAAAGAGCACCUGUACCAUCCUGAGUCAGACUGUUUCAGCUGUUUGAUGCUCACAUACAUAAUAUCAGAUGAGAAAAAGCCUUUGUUUUCAUAUUUAAUGCUGUAUCUGCCGUUCUGAGCUGCAUCAUCAGAUGUUUCAACAAGAAUGUUUCCAUUUUCACAUUUUUCCUUACAGAACAGUUUCCUGCUUCCAGAGAAAUAAAAGCUGCAUGCAACUGUGAUGUUUCCUCCUUCCUCUGCUCUGUGGUCGGGGUGAGUGAUGCGAUCCUCCUACAAGGCAGAUAAAUCCCCGCAGUCUGAGUGUGUGCAGGUCUGGAUCCUGGAGAUCACGCUGGAAGGAUCCAUCUAGUGGAAUCACUGGACUCUCUUCAUGGAGCUCAUGGCUCAGUAAAACAGCUGACAGAGACACGGAGCAUCGUUAAUCACAUGAAACCGGAACUUGUGCGAUUUUACCGCCUUCUACCGAACAUUCAUCUGACUGUUAGGGGCCAAUGACUCUCGAAAACAUUUUAUCAGUAAGUACUGUAUACAGUAUGAUGACAGUAUUUUCCCACAUUUUCUGGAUUCUGUACCACUACUGUGUGUAAAAUGCCAUCAAAAAGUCAAUUAAGUUUUAUUCUUUCUCACCUGUCUUUCUGUCUCCUUUCACUUUUUAAAGUUUGCCAUGUUAGAAAAAUAUUUUGCCCUGCCAUGCUGUUUAUUGAUUUGGUAAAUAAAUAGUUUAUGAAAAUAUCACUAAAUCUGUCAUUUAUUAUUUUAAAUAUUCAGUAAUGAUCAUGUCUCACCUCUAGUCUUCACUGUCUUAAUUUCAGGCUUCUGCCAUGUGUUGUAGAUAGUUCAGGAAGUUAACUUGACCAAGCAGUCUUUGGGUUCCGGCUAAGUACUGUUUAGAAUACCAGAAUACCAACAAGACAGUGUACAUCACCGUCUCAACGACAUUUGUUUUCUGUUGCUUAUUCUGUCUUCACCAACAAUAAAAGACUGCACAUUAAGAACCCCA
ensembl:lncRNA